UUUUUUAUGGAGAGUUUGAUCCUGGCUCAGGAUGAACGCUGGCGGCGUGCCUAAUACAUGCAAGUCGAGCGAACGGA
rnacentral:rRNA from 1 species